UGGACCCUUUCUAAUUUUCCUGCAUCUUUCUUAAGUCUCAGUGCCCAGAACUGGACACAGUAUUCCAGGUGAGGUCUGACUAGUGAGGAGUAUAGGGGAACUACUGCUUCUCAUGAUUUGCGAGUCAUACUUCUGUUGAUGAAUGCCAAAAUAACAUUUGACC